UUAUUUAUUCCUCUUAUCAGGCGUACCAGGGAAAGCAGGCAGAGACCGUGUUUGACUUCAGAGAAAAUGUUAGUCACAUUUCUAUUUAAUGUUCAGGAAAAUUUUAUGUUGAAGUCCUCAAAUGGUGCUGAAGAAAAUUACAAAUUGCAGAAGAGCCGAUAAAAAUACUUUGAGGAUUGAACUAGAAAAAAGGUAAGUUUCUUAAAUAUUU